rnacentral:rRNA from 1 species
CCUACGGGAGGCAGCAGUGGGGAAUAUUGCGCAAUGGGCGAAAGCCUGACGCAGCGACGCCGCGUGAGGGAUGAAGGUCUUCGGAUCGUAAACCUCUGUCAGCAGGGAAGAACGGUCACUGUGCUAAUCAGCAGUGAAUUGACGGUACCUGCAAAGGAAGCACCGGCUAACUCCGUGCCAGCAGCCGCGGUAAUACGGAGGGUGCGAGCGGUAAUCGGAAUUACUGGGCGUAAAGCGCUCGUAGGCGGUAUGUCAAGUCAAGGGUGAAAUCCCCGGGCUCAACGUGGGAACUGCCUUUGAAACUGGCAGACUGGAGUGUGUGAGAGGAUAGUGGAAUUCCAGGUGUAGGAGUGAAAUCCGUAGAUAUCUGGAGGAACAUCAGUGGCGAAGGCGACUAUCUGGCACAUAACUGACGCUGAGGAGCGAAAGCGUGGGUAGCAAACAGGAUUAGAUACCCUGGUAGUC